AUUGAACGCUGGCGGCAUGCCUUACACAUGCAAGUCGAACGGUAACAGGUUAAGCUGACGAGUGGCGAACGGGUGAGUAAUAUAUCGGAACGUGCCCAGUCGUGGGGGAUAACGUAGCGAAAGUUACGCUAAUACCGCAUACGAUCUAAGGAUGAAAGCUGGGGAUCGCAAGACCUCGCGCGAUUGGAGCGGCCGAUAUCAGAUUAGGUAGUUGGUGGGGUAAAGGCUCACCAAGCCAACGAUCUGUAGCUGGUCUGAGAGGACGACCAGCCACACUGGAACUGAGACACGGUCCAGACUCCUACGGGAGGCAGCAGUGGGGAAUUUUGGACAAUGGACGCAAGUCUGAUCCAGCCAUUCCGCGUGCAGGAUGAAGGCCCUCGGGUUGUAAACUGCUUUUGUACGGAACGAAAAGGUCUCUCUUAAUACGGGGGGCUCAUGACGGUACUGUAAGAAUAAGCACCGGCUAACUACGUGCCAGCCGCCGCGGUAA
rnacentral:rRNA from 1 species